UACGAAGGGGGCUAGCGUUGCUCGGAAUCACUGGGCGUAAAGCGCACGUAGGCGGCUUUUUAAGUCAGAGGUGAAAUCCUGGAGCUCAACUCCAGAACUGCCUUUGAUACUGGAGAGCUUGAGUCCGGGAGAGGUGAGUGGAACUGCGAGUGUAGAGGUGAAAUUCGUAGAUAUUCGCAAGAACACCAGUGGCGAAGGCGGCUCACUGGCCCGGUACUGACGCUGAGGUGCGAAAGCUAGGGGAGCAAACAGG
rnacentral:rRNA from 1 species